CCUCGAUGGCAGAUGAUCGCUGGGGGACCGCGAGGUUCACUGGAGGAAAGUCCGAACACCAAACGGCAGCAUGCCGCGGAGAAUACGCGGGCGGCGUUCUCGAAAGAGAAGGUCGACGGAAAGUGUCACAGAAAACAAACCGCCUCAUGGAUCGCGCAAGCGAGUCGUCAGGUAAGGGUGAAAAGGCGAGGUAAGAGCUCACCGCUCGCGAAGCGAUUCGCGAGGCACGAAAAACCCCAUGCGGUGCAAGACAAAACAGAGGGAGGGCAGCCGGUCCGUUACACCUCGGGUUAGUCGCAUCACGGUGCGCGCAAGCGUGCCGGGCGAUUCGCGAAAGUGAAUUGAGAUAAAUGAUCAUCGCGCUGAGCAAUCAGCGGCACAGAAUUCGGCUUAUCGCCGUCGAAAUGGA
rnacentral:RNase_P_RNA from 1 species